UCACGACGACGGAGGUCUCCUGAAAUUUGUACAUUCUCUUUUUCUUCGCGUGAUAAUUUUACAUUUUUAUUUGAAACAGUAACAUCGAUCGAGUUGUUUCCGAGUUAAAUCGAAUAUAUCGUGUCUCAAGGCGAACGGAAUUACUGUGUUCGAUAUAAUCACAUUUAAAAUGAAAUUCGUGAAAUCAAGUUUACGGACUAUGAUGUUUCAUCCGAUUUACUGUCUAUUCCUAUGCAGAAUAAUGCAUCGCGUUCCGGUUGUUUCAUGGAGAGCGCUGUAGCGGUCGCUUUCUCUGGAAAUUAAUAUGGAAAACAAUUCAGAUCUAACCAGACAAACAGACGUUCGAUCAUUUUUUCUAACUGUCUUUUUUUGUUCACAGUUAUUUGCAUAUAUUUCAAGCCAGAACUAGGAAUAAAAAAUCGAACAUGCACCAGGAUUUGAAAUAACAGAAAAAGAAGGUGUGGUAUCGAUCGAGUAAAGGCAUUCUACUAUUCCAUACGAUUAGAUAGAGAUUGAAUCGCACGGAUAUAUCGAAUAACCAUACUCUAUACCUCUCUCUUUCUCAUUCGUUUUCUAUAUACAACCGAUCGAUCAUUCGUUCGCUUAUGUAUUAUUAAAGUAUAUGCUUUGUCUCGUUUCAUUCUACAUCAGCAUUUCUAAUCAUUCUUUAAUCCUUCACACCUACGAUACGUAUGGUUUAGAGUUUUAUACUAAUUCUAAACUUAUCUUUGAUAAUCAGAAAUAAUACGUUGUUAUAAUUCUCAAUAUAGAUUUGUGAUAAUAGAAUAAUCGCAAUAAACUUUGCGUUCGUUGUUCCAUGAAUUUAUAUAAUCAUGGAAAAAGCUAAUUUAGCUUGUAUCUGGUUCAAUGAUCUAACAGAUCGAUUUCAUUGCUUCGAUAGAAAAGAUUAGAUCUAUCGACGUUACAGUUGUGACAUGAACAAAGCGAAGAGAAGGAGCAUAAGGAAAUCUCGUUUAGUCGAUCAAUUUACGUUCUUUCGAAGAACGCUAAUAUUCGAGAGUGUUAUGUCGGCUGAUAUCUAAUUUCCAUCGAUAUGUGUGUAAAUUAUAUCUUACGAUCUGGCGUUGCAAGAUUGCCUCCAGCUGUGCACUUGUCGGCUGUCAGUUAAAAACAGACGCGCCUUGCGAUUCUCUCGUCCAUACAAUAUGAUAAAUCUAUCGCUAAUGUGACGGAUUAAAUAUAUAACCGUUUAACAUAUUAAGCAUAUAAAUUGCGAUCGUCAGGCUUUUUCCUUUACUUUAUAGAAUUUUGAAUGUGAAAUAAUCUCUAUGCAUGCAACUGCAUAAGAAUUAAUUCAGUUGAAGUCAUACAAUGAUUUUCAAAAGUUCUCGAUUUCAAUAUGUUUCUAAUGUUUCUCCAGAAAGCGUUAAAUCCAGGCGACGAGUAACAUUAAUUUUCCCAUGACGAACGAUUUAUUAUCUUUUUCAAGAAGGACUAGGAGCGCCGCGUAAUUCGAGAUCUCGAGUUACUACCGACGGUGAACGCUUAAUCGGCGGAAAAUGCGGAUAAGAGACUGAACGGACCGAAGCGAGAAGAAAUAGUUAACAUUUCAGCCGCGAUAUAUUGCGAUCCGUCCGCUACAUGUCAAAGCAAAUUCUGGAACAACAAAUUUAAGCAGAAAUCGAAAUCAAAACAAGCCAAGAGUAUACAAACUUGCGUUUCUCGCGUCUCUAUGACGAAAUAAUAUGGUUCGACGUUGUUGAUACUAGUGAAGGAGGGAGAACGACGGUUGUCGCAACAUUUGUUGUUGUUACUAUUGGCGGUAGUGGUGGUAGCGAUGGUAGAGGUGGCGAUAGAGGUGAUCGUGGGCCUGGGCCUUGGCAGAUACGGUAGAGACACCGUACAAGCAACGUAUAAUUAGUCUAAUGACAGUGCCGAGUGCCGUUGCUAUCCCGGAAGCUCGGAGAAACGUCGUAAGAAUGGAGUACCGAUCAACGACCUACCUACGACCACAAUGCCCGCGGGAAUUUGGCUUCGAAAGCUCGUGACGCGUUUCAUCGUUCCUCUUCCAUUUCUACGCGCCUACCUGUACAGAGAAUACAUCCACCUCACGUACACUUGGGAAACGGCGAACUGUAUCGUGGAGCGUGACUAAUUGUCGGCAAUAAUGCCGGCGACUUAUCACACCGCCCUAAGUGUAAUAGCGAGCUAGAAAGAUUUGCGAGCUGUGGUGAUCCCGUGGUAAAAGAGGAAGAUUCCCUUUGUGAAGAAAUUUUCAUUUUGCACGCCAACGAUUCACGCGACUCCGCUUUUUUUGCCUGAAAAGAUAAAUUGAACAAUGAAAAACGAACCGUCCGAUCUAUCUUUGAGUAAAGAUGGUAAAGAAGUAUAUCUUGAUAAUCUUCAGUUAAUCAAGACGAUUGGAAAGACCGUCCGAAGUUGCCAAGGGGAGAGGAGGAAAAGGAAGCAGGUUUUCUACCCUUUGGAGAGCAUCGUUCCAACUGCAUCUUCGUGGAUGGAAUUUAAAAGCGGAUGGGUGUAGUAAGUUUUCAGUUUUCUUCAGCUUCUGCCACGACUUUCUCUCUUUUCUUCUCUCAUUUUCUCUCUUUCUCUUCUUCUUCUUCUUCUUCUUCUUCCUCUACUUCUGCUUCUUCUUCUUCUCCUCUUGGUCGAAGAGUACCGAGAGUCUGGACUUCCAUUAAUCGUGAAAGCAAUUAUUACGAGGGAAAGGUCACGGGGCAGACUCUUAAUCGUUCUGAGGUGUGAAUGCUAAUGAGUCCGAAGAACAUGGAGCCAAGAUGCUCGUUGUCCGCACUUUCGAGAAAAAGAACGCUUGUGGCGAUCUUAUAGCCUGACCUUGAUUAAUGCUGAGAAUAAAUGUACUCGAAAUAUUUUAUACUAUAUAGGUAGAGUCUAAUGCCUUCUUCGUAGAUUAUAUAUCACGUCAGAAUUGGAUACAACCAAGAAGAAGAUUGCGAGUGCGGUGUCAUUAUAUAGUUACAACUAUUACGCAGUUAAACUUUCUUAUAUUGUAUACGCACAUAUGUUCCACGCGUCUAGAUAUAUAUUUAUGCGUUAUCUAUAUAAGCGUUGAUAGUUUUUUUAGAUUAGAUUCAUCGUUGGUAAGAACAUAAAUUGAAGAAUCUUACAAUUAGCACGCAUAAGUGGGUCAUUACCAUCUUUGUCAGCCAUGCGUGUCGAUCUUAUCUUUCUGUACUUUUUAGGUAUGUAAAUCUUUUCUCGAGGGAAUUUUUAAUCGUACGAGUAAGCUCUAUGAGGUAGCUAAUGAUAAAAAAUUCACGAUGAAAUAACGUACUUUAGACGGAUAUUAAAGAAAUAUCAUACUCAUUUUCUUGAUUAGUAUCGGACACAUGUGGUUUGUUGGUUUUCGAAUGAACCUUUCAAAACUUUUUAAACGUAACGAGACUAACGGAGAUGAUGCGAUUUCACGGCAAUCGAACACCCAUACUAUAGUAUAGCGGAUCUUGAUAAUCCUAUUUCAUCCUUCAUCUGUUCUCUAUCGUAUCUAUAUCCAUAUUGAGUUUUAUCAUUUUUUCAUAAUCGUACCGACUAAUAACAGAACGGAUUUGUAUGCCCAGAUGUAUGUACAUAAUCGGAUCUGUAGAUAUAACAUUAAUACUCCAAAAAUGAAUAUUCCAAUGAAAAGUAUCGGCUUUAGAAUUAUAAAAGAAGCUCAGUAUGAAAUCGUCCUGUUAUAAUCUUCGUAAUUGGUAUAAUUUUGACGGGAUGAAGUCUCUUGAUAAAGUUAAAAAUUCUUCCGCGAACGAUAUCCCUUUGAUACGCACUCGAUGAAUGAAUGAAUGGAAUAACCAACGUUACAAUCGGUAGUAAAUCCUGAUUUUCUUGAAGCUAGAAUACAAUUCGGCCGACGUAACGAACCAAUGUACAUAACGAGCGCCUAAUUUAGAGUUAAGCCGCAAAGAGAGAAAGAGAGAGAGAGAGAGAAAAGCAGAGGAAGAGAGAAAACUGUCUAGUGUAGAGACGCCUUGCACCAGUGAAAAUAUAUCUACGAAACAGAAAUUGCAGUCUAGGACGAAAUUUAGUCUCGUUAACCCGACUCGGCAUUAAUGUACACUCUACGUAAUAGUUCCGUUAACCGGUAGUUAUGUCAAUUAGGUUUACUCGAACUGGCUGCUUUCAGAAUUAUUUAAAGAGUUAUUACAGUGAUGGUUUCUAGUGGGAGUUGCAAGAGAGGAUUAGGAUUAUGCUUUUGGGAGCUUUGAAGUGUCAGCAUCUAUUCGAAUUACUUUGUCUUGAUCAAUUCUAACCAAUUCAAACCUGUCAUAAAUUUCGUACGAUCUGCAUAGUAAUCAGAGACGACGUAAUCAUAGAAAAUGUAACACCGUUCGAAUUGAAAAUCGAUCCUUUUAUACAGUAAAAAGAACGAUCAAAUAAAUGAACCACAAAAUAUUCGCUCGUUAUUACGGCUAAAUCAACUAUCGAUGGGAGCAUCAAAGGCAGAAAACAACAAACACGUGUGUCGUAUAAACCAGAUACACGAGCGACGAAACUCGAUGAGUAGGUAUCGAGGUGCUUCUCGUUGGUUACAAAAUACAUUCACAUCCCCAAUAGCAGCGUUACGACGUAAUAUAACGGUGUACGUAAUUCGAAAAGCCAUUGUGAAUUACGACUCGACGUUCGUGUUGCAUACGCGAUGCGACGACAAUUCGAGAGAACAUUUCACUUUCCACAGUACUUGCUUCGAUUCAAUCUUUAAUCUAUCGUAGACGUGAAUUCGAUCAUUACGAUGACUCUCCAACGAGCAACAAUAAAACAAAGGACCAUUUUAUUUCGAUUAUUUUCCACGGCAAUACCAAUAGUCGAUCUAAUUCCUACCAAUUGAUACGUUAUACCUUUGAUCUUAAUGUUUCUUCUGUGUAGAAUUAGUAGACAACGAUUGAAAAGCGAUUGGAAAUAAGUAAUUAAGAAGAUUCUACUAACAAUUGACUAAAUUAAUUUGUUAAACUUAGAACACAAAGAAACAAAGUGUUUUACUCAAGAGAUAUUUAUUGUGGAACAAAAGAAAUUUAUUGCGCCAUUUCUUGUACUAUACUGACUUUUAGUGUAGGGAUUUAACGUUGCGGAAAUCUGGAAGAGAUUAAUUAUACCAGGCAUUUCAUCGAUUUCGCGUUGGACAGCUUGCUGAGUUUCCAAUGCUUUCUCGCAAAUAUACCUUUGCCAUUGUCGGGUCAUUAAUUUAUAUUGUAAGAAUAAUAAAUACAUUUUAACAAGUUGUUAAGGGAUUUAAAAAAUCAGAAAUGACACGAAUAAACAAUAUCUAAUGAGUAAAGCACAAAAGUAUCAGUUAAGGAUGACGAAAGAGUAUCUGUUCGUUUACGGAUUUAUUUACCAAUCGUUUUAUCUUACACAGGUAGCUUUGUUAGUGAUAAACGAGAAUGCGUCGUUACCUCCGAAGGAGUCGAUCGGAAACGAUAAAGGACGAUCGACGAGUAAGUGUAAAGCGAUAACACCAACCGAUCGAGAAACGAUUCAGCUACAAAAGCCGAGUCAAUCUUCGUACUCGGAACCUGAAUUAUUAUACCUUACGUCCGAUACGGUUAUAUGGCCGCGACUCUGCUCACCCGUUGAAAUGCUGUCAGCUUAAUUAAUGGUGUUGUGUCAUGAAUGUGGGCAACCUGCCAGCAGCUCGUUAAAUUAUCACACAACGACUCAUUAAGCCUGUGCGCUUCGAUAACGAACUCGUUGCGUCUCCUGUCCCUCAGGAUAAUAGCGUAGAUAACUUAUUCCUUCUUGCUAUUUUGCAUCAUGUGUACAGAUCUGCGUACGUGCGUGCACAUAUGCGAAAUAACAUAGAUGCAUACAUUGUCAAUAAAAUAUCUUUAUACUUUAUCGUUUUCAAUCGUCAUAUCCAAAGUAUUAUUAUUAUCUUUAGUAGCCUCGUUACUAGUACGAUACUAUGAAAUUAUUGUCGCCCGUUUCACGAUCGAUAAUGAAACAUUCGUUCAAAUAUCACCCUGAAAUAUUAGAUGAUAUUCAAUAAAUCUAAGAAUAACAGUUCAAAUUUAAAAAAUAAAAAGUAAGUUCGAAUAUGAUAAUUUUUAUUUCGAUCAACACGAUCAGGAUGUAUAAAAAUCAAACGAAUUAUAAAUAAGCGUAUACUUUUUUAAUGCAAUUCUAAAUAAAUUAGGCAAAUAAGCAAUUCAAAUACUAAUGAAUAUAUAGAUAACGAGAGAAUUUCUCGAUCGUAAAGUCUUUCUUAGUGUUCCUUGGAGGAAUAAUUUAUUUCUUUCUCUUAUCCCCCGAAAGCAUUAUUAAGGCUCAUAAUAAUGACUACUAAAGUUAAACUCACUCCCUAACUAUUGCAUAAUAGAAAAGAUAUGGGCGACAUUCGUUACAGAGGAGAUUCUUCAUAAAAUUCACCUUAUAAAUCUGUCAAUUAUUCAUCAAAACGGCAGCUCGUAAUGACGGAAGCGAGAAGUAAACUGCAUGUUCUGAUCGAGCGUAAUUAUUCAAAUCCGACCGAAGGAAACUCAACGUAAUGCGUCACUCUGUACAUCGCUGUAGGUAAAUAAUUACGUACUCCUGUCAUGUAAAUACUUGCCAUACUCGUCGACUUAAUGAACUCCAUGCUCUACUAGUACCGAUCGUUCCCUCUCUCUUUAUUUCUUCUCUCUCUCUCUCUCUCUCUCUUUUUCUCUCUUUCUCUUUCUCUCUCUUUCUAUCUAUCUAUCUCUCGUAAUUAUACUUCGUACGAAUAUGAACGUAUAUAACUUGCGAUAAGGGCAGAUAUAUGCAUGUAUACAUAUAUGCUUCAGGCUUUUGCUUCUCAUAUGCAAAACUUAACGUGGAAGUUGGAACAAUACAUGUACGAACAUUUGCGUACGAUCAUUGAUGUAGAAAAUAUUACGAUAUGUUCGAUAUGAAAGAAAGAAGACUAUAAACAAGUUCUUCAGCGAAGAUUAAUAAUCAUACUUGUAUAAAAUGAUUAAGUCACAUAUCGUUCAGCUAUUUAAUGUUGCUUAAUGUUUUAUAAUCAAUGCAACGAUUAAGUCUUUAAAUAUUCAUCUCAUUAAACCGUAACUCAGUUUAUAUUCUUAACCGUUUAGUUACUUUUAAAAAUAAAAUAGUCGAUUGCUAGUAAAGAAAUGCUUGCGUAAGCACUAACCGUUUCUCUCGCAACUUUGUAAUUAAGAUUGAAGAGUAAUGAACGAUAGAAUAAAUCGUCGCUCGUCUUUAUGUAAUGUCGGAGCUUUAGAAGUCUCUUAUAUUUCUGGAUUAAUUGCCAUUCAAAAGAAUAGAUUCGUGUUAAACGAUUUUCAUAUGUUAUUCCUAGGAGAAUACGUACAGUAGAAUGAAAAAGAAAGGUCAUUCUCAUAGUGGUAUUGUCUGAAAGAGAAUAGCUUGGUUUAGUACACGGAACCCUUUUCAAUAGGAAGAAUUAGGUCGAAAGUAGAAUCGUCUGAAAUAAAAGUUAAUCCUUCUUGAGUUGCUCAAUACUUCGUUCGGAUAGAUUAACAAUAAAGUUGUAGGAUAGAGAUUUUGAAAACUUAUUGACCUAUGACCUUUAACCACUUGAAAUUGCUUUUUUAAAGAAGCACACUAUCCGAAAGGAAUAGCGUUUUAUUUUCCAAACAAAGAAUAGUAACAAACGGAUGCGGGUCCCAGUGUUACAAACAAGAGAAUGGAACAAAAUAAUGGGGUCAAGUAGAAAACUAAUACUAUUACAAAAUCCAAGUAAUAUCUUUGAAAGGAAGAGAAAAGAUGGCUUCACGAAGAUGCGUCACGUCGUUACCUUUCGUCCAUCAAGAAAAACUAAAAUGAGAGAGAAACAGAGACAGAGAAAGAGAGAGAGAGAGAGAGAGAGAGAGAGAGAGAGAGAGAGAGA